rnacentral:rRNA from 1 species
CCGUGGGACUGCCUCUGAAACCGUAUGACUUGAGGGCAGGAGAGGGGAGUGGAAUUCCCGGUGUAGCGGUGAUAUGCGUAGAUAUCGGGAGGAACACCAGUGGCGAAGGCGGCUCCCUGGCCUGUUUCUGACGCUGAGGCGCGAAAGCGUGGGUAGCGAACGGGAUUAGAUACCCCGGUAGUCCACGCCGUAAACGAUGGGUGCUAGGUGUAGGAGGUAUCGACCCCUUCUGUGCCGUAGCUAACACAAUAAGCACC